CCUACGGGAGGCAGCAGUGGGGAAUAUUGCACAAUGGGGGAAACCCUGAUGCAGCGACGCCGCGUGAGUGAAGAAGUAAUUCGUUACGUAAAGCUCUAUCAGCUGGGAAGAAACACUGACCUUACGGUCAGCAGACGGUACCUGAGUAAGAAGCCACGGCUAACUACGUGCCAGCAGCCGCGGUAAUACGUAGGGGGCAAGCGUUAUCCGGAUUUACUGGGUGGAAAGGGAGCGUAGACGGUGCGCCAAGUCUGGAGUGAAAUGCCGCAGCUUAACUGCGGAACUGCCUUGGAAACUGGCGAACUAGAGUGCGGGAGGGGUAAGCGGAAUUCCUAGUGUAGCGGUGAAAUGCGUAGAUAUUAGGAGGAACACCGGUGGCGAAGGCGGCUUACUGGACCGUAACUGACGUUGAGGCUCGAAAGCGUGGGGAGCAAACAGGAUUAGAUACCCCAGUAGUC
rnacentral:rRNA from 1 species